rnacentral:rRNA from 1 species
GACGAACGCUGGCGGCGUGCUUAACACAUGCAAGUCGAACGGAAAGGCCCUGCUUUUGUGGGGUGCUCGAGUGGCGAACGGGUGAGUAACACGUGAGUAACCUGCCCUUGACUUUGGGAUAACUUCAGGAAACUGGGGCUAAUACCGGAUAGGAGCUCCUGCUGCAUGGUGGGGGUUGGAAAGUUUCGGCGGUUGGGGAUGGACUCGCGGCUUAUCAGCUUGUUGGUGGGGUAGUGGAUUACCAAGGCUUUGACGGGUAGCCGGCCUGAGAGGGUGACCGGCCACAUGGGGACUGAGAUACGGCCCAGACUCCUACGGGAGGCAGCAGUGGGGAAUAUUGCACAAUGGGCGGAAGCCUGAGGCAGCAACGCCGCGUGCGGGAUGACGGCCUUCGGGUUGUAAACCGCUUUCGCCUGUGACGAAGCGUGAGUGACGGUAAUGGGUAAAGAAGCACCGGCUAACUACGU